rnacentral:rRNA from 1 species
AACGAACGCUGGCGGCAUGCCUAACACAUGCAAGUCGAACGAGAUCCUUCGGGGUCUAGUGGCGCACGGGUGCGUAACGCGUGGGAAUCUGCCCUUAGGUUCGGAAUAACAGUUAGAAAUGACUGCUAAUACCGGAUGAUGACGUUAAGUCCAAAGAUUUAUCGCCCGAGGAUGAGCCCGCGUAGGAUUAGCUAGUUGGUGUGGUAAAGGCGCACCAAGGCGACGAUCCUUAGCUGGUCUGAGAGGAUGAUCAGCCACACUGGGACUGAGACACGGCCCAGACUCCUACGGGAGGCAGCAGUGGGGAAUAUUGGACAAUGGGCGCAAGCCUGAUCCAGCAAUGCCGCGUGAGUGAUGAAGGCCUUAGGGUUGUAAAGCUCUUUUACCCGGGAUGAUAAUGACAGUACCGGGAGAAUAAGCCCCGGCUAACUCCGUG